rnacentral:rRNA from 1 species
CUACGGGUUGCACCAGUGGGGAAUAUUGCACAAUGGGCGCAAGCCUGAUGCAGCCAUGCCGCGUGUAUGAAGAAGGCCUUCGGGUUGUAAAGUACUUUCAGCGGGGAGGAAGGGAGUAAAGUUAAUACCUUUGCUCAUUGACGUUACCCGCAGAAGAAGCACCGGCUAACUCCGUGCCAGCAGCCGCGGUAAUACGGAGGGUGCAAGCGUUAAUCGGAAUGACUGGGCGUAAAGCGCAGGCAGGCGGUUUGGUAAGUCAGAUGUGAAAUCCCCGGGCUCAACCUGGGAACUGCAUCUGAACUGGCAAGCUUGAGUCUCGUAGAGGGGUGUAGAAUUCCAGGUGUAGCGGUGAAAUGCGUAGAGAUCUGGAGGAAUACCGGUGGCGAAGGCGGCCCCCUGGACGAAGACUGACGCUCAGGUGCGAAAGCGUGGGGAGCAAACAGGAUUAGAUACCCCUGUAGUC